CAAAUGCAACAAUAACACUCAGACACACAUACACAAGCAAAAAUUAAUUUCGCCAACUAUUUGACAUUUAAACUAGUGACGAAGGAACGCCAACUAAAAACACUCCCUUUUUUCGGGGGUACACAAUUUUCCACAACAAACAAAGCCCAGGGAAGUCACUUGACAGAAAUUCGAAAUUAUUACUUUUUGCUGCACUUUUUCGUUUUCAGCUGUCAGACUCUCGGCCUUUUCGCAUUAAAUUGGGCAACACAACACACGAGCAAGGACCUUCACAUUCCGAAGACUGGGCAAAGACGAAAAGGACCUCCGAAAAAACCGAACCCCCAGCAGUGUGACCGGCAGUUGCGCGCUAGCAUGCACUAAAAAAUGCUGUAGCCA